UACGUAGGAGGCGAGCGUUGUCCGGAUUUACUGGGCGUAAAGGGCGCGCAGGCGGCACUUCAAGUACGAAGUGAAAUCUCACUGCUCAACGGUGAGGGUGCUUUGUAAACUGGAGAGCUAGAGGACGGUAGAGGGGGGUAGAAUUGCUGGUGUAGCGGUGAAAUGCGUAGAGAUCAGCAGGAAUACCCGUGGCGAAGGCGGCCUGCUGGGUUCUGGCUGACACUGAGGCGCGACAGCGUGGGGAGCAAACAGG
rnacentral:rRNA from 1 species